UGGUCAGUGGUUUAAAUCAUACCUUCAUUACAGAAGACAAAAAGAAGAAAUAAAAUCAUCAGAUUCAGAUAACACCUAUUCAAAUUUGGGCAUUAUAUAACAUGGAGUUCCCCAGUGGUCCUUGGUUCUCUGCUUUUCCUUAUAAAUAGCAAUGAUUUACCACCAACCAUUAAAUCUCAGUCAAAACCCAUACUUUUUGCAGAUACUUAUUUCACAUCCAGAAAUUGACUGUUUCCAUAUUUGCAUGAAUGAUGUCUUUGCUAGCUUGAGCAAAUGGAUUAAAGCUAAUAAACUCACAUUAAGUUUUUGGAGGGCUGUUUCAAGCAGCAGCCAGUAGAGCUCAAAUCGCUAUGCUGAUCGCCAACAUCUGGAACGGAUAGGCACUUUAAGAAGAAGAAGUUUUGAAAAAACAAAUUUCAUUAAAUUUCGUACUACCAACAAAAUUUUUGUUAAUCUAGGCAUGGGUAUGAGGAUAAACCAAUUGAAUAAGUAGAAACAAUAAAAUGUCUUGCUCUACAAAUUGAAAAUAACGUAAAUUAGAAAAUAUAUUCAAUACAUUAUGGUUAAACUAAGCUCAGCAUACUUCGCUAUGAGGAAUGUCACAUCACUUAUGAAAACAGAAACUUUAAAAUUAGUCUGCUUUGUUUCCUUCCAUUUGAUCAUGUCACAAAGAAUUAUUUACUAGGGAAACUCAACAGGCAACAACAAAGUAUUUUAUAUUCAAAAGAAAAUCAUUAUAAUUAUGGCAGGCACUAAAAGGAAAGCCUCACAUAUGGAAUUGUAUAAGAAAUUUAAUAUUCUUCCACUAGCCAGUGAAUUCUUGCUGUCAUUAUUAUCAUUUGUAAUGGACAACACAAAUAUUUCAAACAAACUCAGAUAUCCACAAUAUAAACCUUCAUAUGUCAACACAAACCUCGGUAAAUGUCAAAAACGAGUUUGCUACACUGGAAUUACAGUAAUCUAACCCCACUAUAAAAAGUCUGAAUCACGAUAUAAAGAAAUCCUAAAAGAGUUAUUGCCUAUAUCACACCUCCAUAGAAGAAUUUACCUCAACCAAAAUUUCACAGCUAUUACAAGUAUGUACAUGGAAGCAAUAGUAGUGAUUCUUUCUUGUAUAUUUUUGUGAUAAUACUGUAGUUGACUGUAAAUCACUGUCACAACUAUAUAAUUUAUAUUUGCAUUAGAAACAAAUAUCGUUAUUUGUGCUAUGACUUUUUCUUCAUCCUUGGCCCAUGAAGGUUCUAUGGAGCUUAAACAAAUUCUACUCUUUUGUUUCCAGUGAUCCUAAGAAGUUGUGACAAUUCAUUACAACACUAUGAUGGACAUUGCCCAGCCUGAGGUAUAUUUCUUGUAUGAUUCAAAAGUUGGUUCUACACCUGCCUUCAGCUGAGAAGAAAUCAGAUUUCAGUGUUUACAUUCACUGACACACCCUGCCAGUCUGAAUGCAGAGGGUAAUGAAACACACUGCAGCAGCAUGCUGCACUCACAACAGAACAGUAAGUCCUGUUGAUGGAAUCAUAUCCUCAUCAAUGUCUUUAUGUGUUUAUUUCUUAGAAAUAUAGGAAGUACAACCUAAUAUUCAGCACAUGGUCAGAAUAACAGAAUGAAUGCUACAUGCUCUUUAGUGUGGCAAUAAGCCAAAAAGGGAAAAAUAAUUAUGGAAAGUAGUAAAGGAAGUUUAAAAACGUCAAGGGGGAAAAAGUCUUCUGAGAUGUUGGGCUGUGAGGUAUAGUGUGGUACAAAAUAACCAUUCUUUCAGAUGUGCUUAAUGCCUCCAUCAUCAGCAUAAUGAGUAAGCCACACAUGGGAAAGCUGGGUUAGAUAUAGAAACAGGUCAGAUAAGGCACAGUCUUGGCUAGAUCAAUGGAGCAGAGGGCAAGGGAGGCAGUCAAGUGGACCACAGAUUGGCUGGAGUGGGGAGGAGGAGUUAGAAACAUGGAAGCAGACAGGAAAUAUAAUAUGCAGAAUGACAUAAUGAGGUAAAGAAAGGACAAGAAGAAAAGGACAUGAAAUAAGGAAAAUAUACAAUAAAUAAAAAUUAAAUUAAAUGAAUUUAAAUAAAUUAAUGAUGUGUGAACAGAGUUCUUUAAGUUGAGUUGAGUUCAAACCGAACAGUAUUAAAAUUCUUGAGUUUCGAGUCAAAGUUUGAGUUUAAGUAAGAAAUCACCUUUUAUUAGGCCUAUUUUGUUAUACACUAAGCAAUACAAUAAAAUCUUCUCAGGCAAUCA